GCCUGGGUGGCUCAGUUGGUUAAGCGUCUGACUUUGGCUCAGGUCAUAUAAUCUCGUGGUCUGCGAGUUCAAGCCCUGCGUCAGGCU
rnacentral:tRNA from 1 species